AAUGGAAUAGCUGGGUCAAAUGGUUGUUCCAUUCCUAGUUUUUUGAGGAAUUUCCAUACUGCUUUCCAGAGUGGUUGCACUAAUUUGCAGUCCUACCAGCAAU
rnacentral:pre_miRNA from 1 species